AGAGUUUGAUCCUGGCUCAGAGCGAACGCUGGCGGCAGGCCUAACACAUGCAAGUCGAGCGCCGUAGCAAUACGGAGCGGCAGACGGGAGAGUAACACGUGGGAACGUGCCCUUCAGUUCGGAACAACCCAGGGAAACUUGGGCUAAUACCGGAUACGUCCGUAAGGAGAAAGAUUUAUCGCUGAAGGAUCGGCCCGCGUCUGAUUAGCUAGUUGGUGGGGUAAUGGCCCACCAAGGCGACGAUCAGUAGCUGGUCUGAGAGGAUGAUCAGCCUCACUGGGACUGAGACACGGCCCAGACUCCUACGGGAGGCAGCAGUGGGGAAUAUUGGACAAUGGGCGCAAGCCUGAUCCAGCCAUGCCGCGUGGAUGAUGAAGGCCCUAGGGUUGUAAAGUCCUUUCGGCGGGGAAGAUAAUGACGGUACCCGCAGAAGAAGCCCCGGCUAACUUCGUGCCAGCAGCCGCGGUAAUACGAAGGGGGCUAGCGUUGCUCGGAAUCACUGGGCGUAAAGCGCACGUAGGCGGCUUUUUAAGUCAGGGGUGAAAUCCUGGAGCUCAACUCCAGAACUGCCUUUGAUACUGAGAAGCUUGAGUCCGGGAGAGGUGAGUGGAACUGCGAGUGUAGAGGUGAAAUUCGUAGAUAUUCGCAAGAACACCAGUGGCGAAGGCGGCUCACUGGCCCGGUACUGACGCUGAGAUGCGAAAGCGUGGGGAGCAAACAGGAUUAGAUACCCUGGUAGUCCACGCCAUAAACGAUGGAUGCUAGCCGUUGUCGGGUUUACUCGUCAGUGGCGCAGCUAACGCAUUAAGCAUCCCGCCUGGGGAGUACGGUCGCAAGAUUAAAACUCAAAGGAAUUGACGGGGGGCCCGCACAAGCGGUGGAGCAUGUGGUUCAAUUCGAAGCAACGCGAAGAACCUUACCAGCCCUUGACAUGUCCCGUAUGAGUACCGGAGACGGAACUCUUCAGUUCGGCUGGCGGGAACACAGGUGCUGCAUGGCUGUCGUCAGCUCGU
rnacentral:rRNA from 1 species